rnacentral:rRNA from 1 species
AACGUAGGAGACAAACGUUAUCCGGAGUUACUGGGCGUAAAGGGCGUGUAGGUGGUUACGUAAGUCUGGCGUGAAAUUUCUCGGCUUAACCGAGGCAGGUCGUCGGAUACUGCGAGACUAGAGGACGGUAGAGGCGUGUGGAAUUCCGGGUGUAGUGGUGAAAUGCGUAGAGAUCCGGAGGAACACCAGUGGCGAAGGCGGGUCUCUGGGCCGAUACUGACGCUGAGGCACGAAAGCGUGGGGAGCAAACAGGG